rnacentral:rRNA from 1 species
UUUUUUGUUGCCAGCGGUCCGGCCGGGAACUCAAAGGAGACUGCCAGUGAUAAACUGGAGGAAGGUGGGGAUGACGUCAAGUCAUCAUGGCCCUUACGACCAGGGCUACACACGUGCUACAAUGGCGCAUACAAAGAGAAGCAAUCUCGCGAGAGCUAGCGGACCUCAUAAAGUGCGUCGUAGUCCGGAUUGGAGUCUGCAACUCGACUCCAUGAAGUCGGAAUCGCUAGUAAUCGUGAAUCAGAAUGUCACGGUGAAUACGUUCCCGGGCCUUGUACACACCGCCCGUCACACCAUGGGAGUGGGUUGCAAAAGAAGUAGGUAGCUAACCUCGGGAGGGCGCUACUCAGCUUAUGUG